AACAGGAUUAGAUACCCUGGUAGUCCAUGCCGUAAACGAUGAGUGUUCGCCCUUGGUCUGUCUACGCUACGCUACGCGGAUCAGGGGCCCAGCUAACACGUGAAACACUCCGCCUGGGGAGUACGGUCGCAAGACCGAAACUCAAAGGAAUUGACGGGGGCCCGCACAAGCGGCGGAGCAUGCGGAUUAAUUCGAUGCAACGCGAAGAACCUUACCAAGGCUUGACAUACACCGGUAACGGCCAGAGAUGGUCGCCCCCUUGUGGUCGGUGUACAGGUGGUGCAUGGUUGUCGUCAGCUCGUGUCGUGAGAUGUUGGGUUAAGUCCCGCAACGAGCGCAACCCUCGUCCUAUGUUGCCAGCACGUGAUGGUGGGAACUCAUGGGAGAUUGCCGGGGUCAACUCGGAGGAAGGUGGGGAUGACGUCAAAUCAUCAUGCCCCUUAUGUCUUGGGCUUCACGCAUGCUACAAUGGCCGGUACAAAGGGCUGCGAUACCGCGAGGUGGAGCGAAUCCCAGAAAGCCGGUCUCAGCUCGGAUCGUAGUCUGCAACUCGACUACGUGAAGUCGGAGUCGCUAGUAAUCGCAGAUCAGCAAUGCUGCGGUGAAUACGUUCCCGGGCCUUGUACACACCGCCCGUCAAGUCACGAAAGUUGGUAACACCCGAAGCCGGUGGCCUAACCCCCUUGUGGGGAGGGAGCCGUCGAAGGUGGGACUGGCGAUUGGGACUAAGUCGUAACAAGGUAACC
rnacentral:rRNA from 1 species